rnacentral:misc_RNA from 1 species
GGCAGAAGAGGGUCUGCUAGUUCUUCGUCUUCACUUGAAAGCAGCAACUAUCCAGCUCUUUCAAGUAGGUCUUCUCUCUAUCAGCAUAAUAGAGACCUUAGCACAGAUCUUAGGCUUGGACUUAGCAUUGCAACUUCUAGUCAAGGCAAUCCUUCUACACCAAGUGUUAGUGAGUCAGAUUGGCCACCCAUCAAGCCGUUUCUAAAGGAGACACUAGCAGCUGAAGAAAAUGAGUGCAACAGUGCUACCUUCUUUGUCAAGGUUUACAUGGAAGGCAUUCCAAUUGGCAGAAAACUCGACCUAUUAGCCCAUGAUGGUUACCACAACUUAAUAAGGACUCUUGAUCAUAUGUUCAACACUACCAUUAUCUGGGCUGAAAUGGAUGGUGAACAUUCAGAACAGUACCAUGUGUUGACAUAUGAAGACAAAGAAGGAGAUUGGUUGAUGGUUGGGGAUGUACCAUGGGAGAUGUUCUUAUCCUCAGUGAGGAGAUUGAAGAUCACAAGAGCAGAUAUAUAACUCUGAUCCUUUUGUAGUGUUUUUCAUCCUUUAUGAAGUGGCUUACUCGCUUUCGUUCUCAGCUGGGGAUCAUUGAAAAUAAAUAACUAGGCUGGAAGAUGGUAGUGAAAAUGUUUGAGAAUCAAAGAUGUACAUUCCUAUAAAAAGAAAUGAUAGAAAAAAAGAAUUUUGCCUUUUGCUUGUAAAUUGCUUUCUCG